GUUAUGCAGUCCCACAGUAGUUUCUCCUUUCACAAACAACCUGGUCAGAAGACUCAAGGGAGACCCUCAGAUGGCUGGAGCUCUGUCCUCUCUGAUAUUCUGCCCUAAGAACUCUGACUGUCUCAGUUUUCCAAACUCCCAACACUGUAUCUCAGCUCAAGGAGCCCCUUGUCUGCACCAUGGCUUGGAGACUUUUUAGGAAAUCAGCUUGGACAAUCAUAGAGCUCACCUCAUAUGUUCAGCCUCUUUCAGGGAUCAAACUCCGGACCUUCCUUGAAAGUUAUUUGGAUAGAUGAUAUUGGCACAUUGUUUAAAAUUCAAGAACUGAAGAGCACAGAGUGAAGAAUAAAUCUCCUUUUCUUAUCACCCAUCUCUGUCUCCUACUGUUGCUUGUUUCUUAUGUAUCCUUUUAAAAACAGCACAAUAGGUAUUGUGGAUUGUGUUUGUACAUGUUUGUGUAUUACGGGGAUGAGCGUAGUUAAUAUAUAUGUGUGUAUCUCUACAUGUAUAUCACUUUCUGCAUAUGUAUAUAUUUAUAACAUGAAUAUAUGUACAUAUUAUUUUAACCUUUUACAAAUGUGUGUGUUGAGGAACUUUUCAUUUAUUUAUUGAUUUAUUGAUGUAUUGACUUAUUGAUUGUGUCAGGGAUAGAACUCUGGGACUCAUACAUGUUAGGCAAGUGCUCUACACUGAGCUCCAAUCCCAGCCUUGCUUUAGUUUUUGUUGUAGUUGUUUUGUUUUUGAGACAGGUUCUCUAUGUAGCUCAGGCUGGCCUAGAACUAGAACCUCCUGCCUCAGCUUCCAGGGUGGGAUUAUAGGCACGUAUCAGUACACCCCCCAAUCUUGCACCAGUUUUUAAAAAUGGCUGCAUAGUGUUUAGUUUUAUAGAUAUAUGUCAAUUUAUUUACUGAGUGCUUUGUUGGUAUAUCAUUCUCUAAAUUCUUUUUUUUUUCCUGAACAAAGUGCAUGCAUGCUACUGAGCACACUGGGCCAAAGGACAUGUACAUCGAAAACAUUGACAGAGGGUGUGGAACUUCCUCAUAUCAAUAUGCACCCUCAUAAUGAGGAAAAGAAUGGGAGAAGAGGGAGUGGGAAGUAGAAGAGGAGGGUGGAGCAGCAGGACAGUGGAGCGUCAGAUGGCGAGAUGCCAGUGGAGUAGUCCCUGCCCUGACCAGGUCCAGGGUGUGGACCCAGCAGGAAGUUGCUGGUAUGGGGUGGAGGAGAGGUGAAGGUCAAUGAGCAGAGGAUGUCCAGGAACUGUGAGAAGAAUGAGUCACCAAGAUGAUGGGGCAGCCUGUCUUCCCUGGUGGGUUCAUCAUCAUCAUCAUCGUCACUCACGAAACACAGCCAUGGUAGCUGUCACUUCCCUUUCAAACUAGCAGGAGAAGGACAGGUGCCUCUUGGUCCUCUUUCUACUCUAUGGGCAGCAAACUUCACACUUGAGUUCACUCAAGAGGAAGCACAUUGAUCAACAUGGCCACCUCGGGGGACAGGCAAUGAUGUUUCCAUUUUUUAUGAUGGCAUCUGGGGCAGUGAGACAGGCAGGGCUGUUUUCCCAGCUCCUCCUGCUUCAAUGAAUACCAAUUAGGCCUGUGGAUAAUUUGUUUGACAUCUUCAGUCCCCAGAGUGUUUCUGACUGACAUCAUCAAAUCAACCCUGGCUUGAGGAGCCCCUUCCUAGAGUUAAUGUAGAGACUUGGUUAGGAAUUGUGUUCAACAGCAGGUAGCAGAGACUGGGAAAUCAAUGGUGAAAACCAGAGAUGGGUAUUUUUCUCUAAUGUAACAUAGAGUCCAGGGACAAGUAUGUUACAAAAGUCACAGUAACUUCAGAAAGUCAUUGGUGUCUCAAGCUCCUUUGUUCUUCUGCUCUGAUCUUAGCCGAAAGGCCGAGAAGCAUCUGCUCUGCUUCUCUAGAGCCAACUUUAUUUUCCAGCUUCUGGAAUGGCUGCUGGAGCUCUAGCCCUUGCGCCUAUUUUCCAUGCUGGAAGCCAGAGGUAGAGAUUAAGGCAAAAGGGAGCGUGCCUGAUGUCUUCCACCUCAUCUUCUAACAAGCUAUCCCAGAAGCUCCACUCAGUAUUGGAAUCUUGCGUCUCAUUGAAUGGUUUACCCUGAUGUCACCCCCUGUUUCUACAGGGAACCCGGGAAAUGGAUUUUUAGCUGGGUUUAUUGCUGCCCCCAACAAAUCAAGGUUUUGUUCACAAACAAAAAGAAACAAAUGGAUGUUGGCUAGGCAACUAGCAGCCUCUUGCAGAUGUCAUGGACAUUUUACACUUUAAAAAUUAUAUUUUAUUUUUUAUUGUGAUAAAAUACAUAAUUUUACCAUUUAACCAUUUUUCAGUGUACACUGGCAUUAAGUACAUUCCUAAUUUGUAAACUUCACCACUAUCUAUUUCCAGAGCUUCCAUAGCAAAUGGUAGCACUGCAUUCAUUAAAUAAUAACACCUCAUUCCCUUCUCCUCAGACACCAGUAACUUCUGUGUUAUUGUCCAUCAUCAUUUAGGUGGAAUCAUAUAAUAUUUGUCCUUCUGUGUCUGGCUAAUUUCAGUUAGCAUAGUGUUUUCAAGGUUUGUUCAUACUGAAGCAAGUACCAAACUUCAUUUUUUUUUUAUUGCUGAAUUACUUCCCAUUUGAUGGAUAUAAUAAAUUUUGAUUCUUCAUCCAUCUGUCUCUGAACAUU